UGCAGUUAAAAAGCUCGUAGUCGGAUGUCAGUAUUAGGCCCUUCUUCCAAUACGGUUGCUAGUGGUCUUUACUUCCUUAACAGAAUCUUUCAUUUUAUUAAUUUAAAGUGUUUGGGGCCUGUUUCUUUUACUUUGAGAAAAUUAGAGUGUUCAAAGCGGGUUUUCGCCUGGAUAUUACUCUUGGAAUAAUAAUAUAGGACUUUGGUUCUUUUUUGUUGGUGACUUAGAACCGAAGUAAUGAUUGAUAGGGACAGUUGGGGUCAUUCGUACUAUGAAGCGAGAGGUGAAAUUCAUGGACCUUCGUAUGACGAACUACUGCGAAAGCAUUUGACUAGGAUGUUCCCGUUGAUCAAGAACGAAAGUUGGGGGAUCGAAGACGAUCAGAUACCGUCGUAGUCUCAACCAUAAACUAUGCCAGCUAGGGAUUGGAGGAAGAUCAUUUUACGUCUCCUUCAGCACCUUAUGAGAAAUCAAAGCAUUUGGGUUCCGGGGGGAGUAUGGUCGCAAGGCUGAAACUUAAAGGAAUUGACGGGAGGGCACCACCAGGAGUGGAGCCUGCGGCUUAAUUUGAUUCAACACGGGAAAACUUACCAGGUCCGGACAUGGGAAGGAUUGACAGAUUGAGAGCUCUUUCUC
rnacentral:rRNA from 1 species